UCAGACCUGCACUCACAUGAAGGAAAGGCUAUAACUGUGGUGGCUGUCAUGUAAAUUAUCUUUUUCCUCCUGUUUUGAACUGUGAAGUAAUGAUGCUGCUUCUAUGAAUCCAAAUCUUUUUCAAUUUUUAAAUAAAAUUUUAAAUAAAAUUUUAAAAUAAUUCCUUUUUAAUUAGGAAGACUGCUGAGGGGGUUUUUUUAUUCAUAGGUUUAGAAGAGCCUGGCAUGGUUUUUUGCAGGAGGGUGCCAAUACUAAAGGCAGACACAGUUAAGGGAACAGAACCCUCUUAACACAGGUGACUGACGGGGCAGUGUGGAUAAGUAAACCUGGGUAAGUGUUUCCUGUAGUGCGUUACACAAGUUCAUAGUAGCAGGUUGUAUUUGCUCCUUUGUGCACAUGUGCAGUGUGCUGUGUCUUUUGAAGCUUUAGGAGAUAUCUUCAGGACUCGUGUUCCUUUGAAAUGUUAGUGUUGUGUUUUUAAAUCUUACCAUUCUUCUCAGAUUUGAGUAAAUGGGAGCGAGUAUCAAAGAUGAAAUUCAAACAUGAGAAUGUCCAUCUUGUGCCUUAUCCCUACAUUUGUAAGUUGUACCUAGAAUUGAACUCAUUUCAGCGAAGUAUAUCUUGUGGUUUUCUGUGAAUUCUCUGAACAACCUCAGGCUGCAACUAAGGCCUCUGUGGGACUCUACAUUUAAACUUCUUUUGUGAAAACUGAGUAUUCUUACUAUUUCCUGUUCUGAUUAUCAAGCUCUGAAAAAAGU